ACGGAGAAGCCCUUGGGAGUUUCAUUCUUGAUUUCCUCCUGGCAGCUGUGCUGGGUGAAUAGACUACAUACACUGGAGCAGAGUCCUUCAUUCCUGAAUAUUCAGGAGGGAAUGCAUGCCGUUCUUAAUUGUACUUAUCAGGAGAGAACACUCUUCAAUUUCCACUGGUUCCGGCAGGAUCCGGGGAGAAGACUUGUGUCUUUGACCUUAAUUCAAUCAAGCCAGAAGGAGCAGGGAGACAAAUAUUUUAAAGAACUGCUUGGAAAAGAAAAAUUUUAUAGUGUUUGGAAUAUCGCAGCCUCUCAUCUGGGAGAUUCAGCCACCUACUUCUGUGCUUUG